rnacentral:rRNA from 1 species
GAGGGAUGACGACCUUCGGGUUGUAACCCUCUUUCACCAGGGACGAAGCGUGAGUGACGAUCCUGGAGAAGAAGCACCGCCCAACUCCGUGCCAGCAGCCGCGGUAAUACGUAGGGUGCGAGCGUUGUCCGGAAUUACUGGGCGUAAAGAGCUCGUAGUCGGUUUGUCACGUCGUCAUGUGAAAUUCUACAGCUUAACUGUAGGCGUGCAGGCGAUACGGGCACACUUGAGUACUACAGGGGAGACUGAAAUUCCUGAUGUACCGGUGAAAUGCGCAGAUAUCAGGAGGAACACCGGUGUCGAAGGCGGGUCUCUGGGUAGUAACUGACACUGAGGAGCGAAAGCAGUGGGUAGCGACCAGGAUUAGAUACCCUGGUAGUCCACGCCGUAAACGGUGGGUACUAGGUGUGGGGCUCAUUUCACGAGUUCCGUCCCGUAGCUAACGCAUUAAGUACCCCGCCUGGGGAGUACGACCGCAAGGCUAAAACUCAAAGGAAUUACCGGGGGCCCGCCCAAGCGGCGGAGCAUGUGGAUUAAUUCGAUCGCAACGCGAAGAUCCUUACCUGGGUUUGACAUACACCAAUCGCGGCUACAGAUAG